CCUACGGGGGGCAGCAGUGGGGAAUAUUGGACAAUGGGGGCAACCCUGAUCCAGCCAUGCCGCGUGUGUGAAGAAGGCCCUCGGGUUGUAAAGCACUUUCAGUGAGGAAGAACGCCUGGUGGUUAAUACCCAUCAGGAAAGACAUCACUCACAGAAGAAGCACCGGCUAACUCCGGGCCAGCAGCCGCGGUAAUACGGAGGGUGCGAGCGUUAAUCGGAAUUACUGGGCGUAAAGCGCGCGUAGGUGGCUUGAUAAGCCGGUUGUGAAAGCCCCGGGCUCAACCUGGGAACGGCAUCCGGAACUGUCAAGCUAGAGUGCAGGAGAGGAAGGUAGAAUUCCCGGUGUAGCGGUGAAAUGCGUAGAGAUCGGGAGGAAUACCAGUGGCGAAGGCGGCCUUCUGGACUGACACUGCCACUGAGGUGCGAAAGCGUGGGUAGCAAACAGGAUUAGAUACCCGAGUAGUC
rnacentral:rRNA from 1 species